rnacentral:rRNA from 1 species
CCAGUCGAAAGAUUGGCUAAUACCGGAUACGACUGUGAAGCUCCGGCUUCUGCAGUGAAAGAUGGCCUCUGCUUGCAUGCUAUCACUCGUGGAUCGGCCUGCGCACCAUUUAGCUAGUUGGUGAGGUAAUGGCUCACCAAGGCUGAGAUGGUUAGCUGGUCUGAGAGGAUGGCCAGCCACACUGGGACUGAGACACGGCCCAGACUCCUACGGGAGGCAGCAGUGGGGAAUAUUGCGCAAUGGGCGAAAGCCUGACGCAGCGACGCCGCGUGGGUGAUGAAGGCCUUCGGGUCGUAAAGCCCUGUCGGGAGGGAAGAAACAGCUCGGGUCUAAUACAUCCGAGCAUUGACGGUACCUCCUAAGGAAGCACCGGCUAACUCCGUGCCAGCAGCCGCGGUAA